UACGUAGGGUGCAAGCGUUGUCCGGAAUCAUUGGGCGUAAAGCGCGUGUAGGCGGCCCGGUAAGUCCGCUGUGAAAGUCGGGGGCUCAACCCUCGGAUGCCGGUGGAUACUGUCGGGCUCGAGUACGGAAGAGGCGAGUGGAAUUCCUGGUGUAGCGGUGAAAUGCGCAGAUAUCAGGAGGAACACCAAUUGCGAAGGCAGCUCGCUGGGACGUUACUGACGCUGAGACGCGAAAGCGUGGAGAGCGAACAGG
rnacentral:rRNA from 1 species